rnacentral:rRNA from 1 species
AUUGAACGCUAGCGGGAUGCUUUACACAUGCAAGUCGAACGAGUGGCGGACGGGUGAGUAAUGUAUCGGACCGUGCCCAGUGGCGGAGGAUAACUACUCAAAAGCGUGGCUAAUACCGCAUACUCUUGGUGGGGCCGAUAUGGCAUUAUCUAGUUGGUGGGGUAAAGGCUCACCAAGGCAACGAUACGUAGCUGGUUUGAGAGGAUGACCAGCCAGACUGGGAAUGCGACACGGACCAUACUCCUACGGGAGGCAGCAGUGGGGAAUUUUGGACAAUGGGGGAAACCCUGAUGCAGCCAUCCUGCGUGUGUGAGAAGGCCUUCGGGUUGGAAAGUACUUUUGGCAGGGAAGCGGUAUCUGCAGAAGAAGCACCGGCUAACUCCGUGCCAGCAGCCGCGGUAAUUC